rnacentral:rRNA from 1 species
GACGUAGGGGGCAAGCGUUGUUCGGAAUUACUGGGCGUAAAGGGCAUGUAGGCGGUUUUGUAAGCCUGGCGUGAAAUUCUGCAGCUUAACUGUAGGACUGCGCUGGGGACUGCGAGACUUGAGUCACGGAGAGGGAGCUAGAAUUCCAGGUGUAGGGGUGAAAUCUGUAGAUAUCUGGAAGAAUACCAGUGGCGAAGGCGAGCUUCUGGCCGAUGACUGACGCUGAGGUGCGAAAGCGUGGGUAGCAAACAGG